GUUUGAGAGAAGGGAUGACACAGUAGGAUAAGCUAAGCACACUGUUGGUUAUGUGUGCCCAAGCAUUGAGGCAGUCAAAGUAGGCAAAUCCGCUUUGAUAAUGCUGGGAUGUGAUGGGGAGCGAAAUUUAGUAGCGAAGUAGCUGAUUUCACACUGUCAAGAAAAGUCUCUAUCGAGGUUAAAGGUACCCGUACCGCAAACCGACACAGGUGGGUGAGGAGAGUAUCCUAAGGCCAGCGAGAGAACUGUUGUUAAGGAACUCGGCAAAAUGACCCCGUAACUUAGGGAUAAGGGGUGCCACCAUCAGGUGGCCGCAGAGAAUAGGCCCAAGCGACUGUUUACCAAAAACAUAGGUUUCUGCUAAGUCGCAAGACGAUGUAUAGGAGCUGACGCCUGCCCGGUGCUGGAAGGUUAAGGGGAUCUGUUAGAGUAAUCGAAGCAGUGAACUUAAGCCCCAGUAAACGGCGGCCGUAACUAUAACGGUCCUAAGGUAGCGAAAUUCCUUGUCGGGUAAGUUCCGACCCGCACGAAAGGCGUAACGAUUUGGGCACUGUCUCA
rnacentral:rRNA from 1 species